CUGUUAUCACCUGUCAGGGUCUGCGUAUUAUGUUUGAAGAGUACUGCCAUAGGCAUUUGGAGAGAAGCUGAAGAGAGGUAGCAGCUGUAGAAUGCACAGAAGUGCUGAAGAAUUAUUAAGUCAGGAGUCUAAGAAGCUCUAUGAAAAAAGAGAUUUGAAGACAAAUUUGGGAAAUGCUGCAUACUGUAUCCCUCUUAAAGAUUCCUUAGCAAUUCUUAAAAAUGUCACGCAGAAAACUGUUUAUCCAAGUGGUUCCAACCCUGGCUGAAGAUCAGACUCUCCUGGACCACUUGAACAGGUCUGAUGCCAGGCUCUCUCGAGGCUGAUUAAAUCUGAACUGCUGGUUGGGGAAUUUGAGCACCAGCAUUUUACAGAGUCCCCAGGUGAAUGUCCAGUGUUGGGCACACUUCACCCUCUGUUAA